AGUGAACGCUGGCGGUAGGCCUAACACAUGCAAGUCGAACGGCAGCACAGUAAGAGCUUGCUCUUACGGGUGGCGAGUGGCGGACGGGUGAGGAAUACAUCGGAAUCUACUUUUUCGUGGGGGAUAACGUAGGGAAACUUACGCUAAUACCGCAUACGACCUACGGGUGAAAGCAGGGGAUCUUCGGACCUUGCGCGAUUGAAUGAGCCGAUGUCGGAUUAGCUAGUUGGCGGGGUAAAGGCCCACCAAGGCGACGAUCCGUAGCUGGUCUGAGAGGAUGAUCAGCCACACUGGAGCUUGGACACGGUCCAGCCUCCUACGUGAGGCAGCAGUGGGUAAUAUUGGACAAUGGGCGCAAGCCUGAUCCAGCCAUACCGCGUGGGUGAAGAAGGCCUUCGUGUUGUAAAGCCCUUUUGUUGGGAAAGAAAAGCAGCAGGUUAAUACCCCGCUGUUCUGACGGUACCCAAAGAAUAAGCACCGGCUAACUUCGU
rnacentral:rRNA from 1 species